rnacentral:rRNA from 1 species
GACAGAGGGUGCAAACGUUGUUCGGAUUUACUGGGCGUAAAGCGCGUGUAGGCGGCUUUGCAAGUCGGAUGUGAAAGCCCACGGCUCAACCGUGGAAGUGCAUCCGAAACUGCAUGGCUCGAGUCUCGGAGAGGAAGGUGGAAUGCUUGGUGUAGAGGUGAAAUUCUUAGAUAUCAAGCAGAACACCUGCGGCGAAGGCGGCCUUCUGGACGAUGACUGACGCUGAGACGCGAAAGCGUGGGGAGCAAACAGG